CCGCACCAAACGGCAGACUUAGCUGCAGUGUCAGGGAAACAGGGCCCUGAUUAACUCAUAAAAAAUGAAAUGAAAAUCCAAUUCGUUCAAUUCCAUUCCCAGCCGCAGGCUGCGCUCGGGACGAGGGCGGGCGGAAGUGACGCAGCCGGGUGGAAGAAGCUGCCGUGGAGCAGGGCGGAAGUGCUGGCGAGAGCGGUGCGGUUCCGGUGCAGGUGAGCGGCGGCCGAGCUGCGGGAGCGGCGUCAGAGGCUGGCAGGAUCUACUUCAGAGGCUUAAAUGCUGCUUCUGGAAAACACUGGAAGAGUAUUGCGGACCUGCAUUUCUAUAUAAAGUAAACGCCGUUCUCUCUGACCCACUGGUGCUGCCUUAGUUGGUGAUUGGGGUCGCUCCCUGUCCUCACUGACCUCCCUUCUCAGGCUCAUGCUGGAGCUGAAAUUGGUUCAUUCAGAGGGCAAAAUCCUCGCUGGGUUGCACAUGCUGGCUGGCUGGUGGUCCCUCUUGGCAAACAGAUUGUGUAUGAACCAGCAACAUCACAGCUAAGCAACCUUGGUGAAGAGCGAGAUCCCUGAAAAGAGUAUAACAGUUGCAAGUGUAGCUCAUAAAUGCUGCAGGAAGGAAUUCUUGUUUCUGUUAGCAUCUGUCCCCCAAGGUAGCUCCCCAUGUAUUUUACAGUCCAGUUGGAUAUGAAUAGCAUAAGACCAGACAUUGGCUUCAGGGCAGUGGCUGUGCCUGCCCAAUGAUUGCAGUUCGUUUUGGUCUGAGGUUAAGAGAGAGAUUCACUUCCAAGCUUUGCACUUUCUCAUGCAUGCAGCCUGUCCAUAUGGCAGAUAACUGUGCCUUUAAAAAUCCAUAUCCACUUUCCUUUCCGUCUUCACAAUAAGUCAUCACUGAGUCCUGAUGGGCUUUUGCAAGUGGAAGAGAU